CAGCAGCCGCGGGAAUACGAAGGGUGCAAGCGUUACUCGGAAUUACUGGGCGUAAAGCGUGCGUAGGUGGUGGUUUAAGUCCGUUGUGAAAGCCCUGGGCUCAACCUGGGAAUUGCAGUGGAUACUGGGUCACUAGAGUGUGGUAGAGGAUAGUGGAAUUUCCGGUGUAGCAGUGAAAUGCGUAGAGAUCGGAAGGAACAUCUGUGGCGAAGGCGGCUCACUGGUCCGGUACUGACGCUGAGGUGCGAAAGCGUGGGGAGCAAACAGGAUUAGAUACCCCAGUAGUCCCUGUCUCUUAUAC
rnacentral:rRNA from 1 species